rnacentral:rRNA from 1 species
GCACGGGUACUUGUACCUGGUGGCGAGCGGCGGACGGGUGAGUAAUGCCUAGGAAUCUGCCUGGUAGUGGGGGAUAACGCUCGGAAACGGACGCUAAUACCGCAUACGUCCUACGGGAGAAAGCAGGGGACCUUCGGGCCUUGCGCUAUCAGAUGAGCCUAGGUCGGAUUAGCUAGUUGGUGAGGUAAUGGCUCACCAAGGCGACGAUCCGUAACUGGUCUGAGAGGAUGAUCAGUCACACUGGAACUGAGACACGGUCCAGACUCCUACGGGAGGCAGCAGUGGGGAAUAUUGGACAAUGGGCGAAAGCCUGAUCCAGCCAUGCCGCGUGUGUGAAGAAGGUCUUCGGAUUGUAAAGCACUUUAAGUUGGGAGGAAGGGCAGUUACCUAAUACGUAAUUGUUUUGACGUUACCGACAGAAUAAGCACCGGCUAACUCUGUGCCAGCAGCCGCGGUAAUACAGAGGGUGCAAGCGUUAAUCGGAAUUACUGGGCGUAAAG